CAGCCGCCGCGGGAAUACGUAGGGGGCAAGCGUUGUCCGGAAUUAUUGGGCGUAAAGCGCGCGCAGGCGGUCAUGUAAGUCUGGUGUUUAAUCCCGGGGCUCAACCCCGGAUCGCACUGGAAACUGGGUGACUUGAGUGCAGAAGAGGAGAGUGGAAUUCCACGUGUAGCGGUGAAAUGCGUAGAGAUGUGGAGGAACACCAGUGGCGAAGGCGACUCUCUGGGCUGUAACUGACGCUGAGGCGCGAAAGCGUGGGGAGCAAACAGGAUUAGAUACCCGAGUAGUCCCUGUCUCUUAUACA
rnacentral:rRNA from 1 species